UGGGAUUCCGUUGAGUGAUCCAGAUACCUUGCUUCCUCUCAUAUUCUAUUUGGGAUUCCUUUGAGUUGGUCUAGGAUGUAGGAACAUAGAAGCUGCUCAAGCUUAUACUUGUGUUGGAAACUUAGAGUUUCAAUGCUAUUGAUUUGAAUUUUAGGUAAGGAAAUACGACGAACCUUACAUAGGUCAGCUUUACUAAACUUAAUGAAGUGAUAUAAAAUUUUAUUGGUUGAUGAACCUAGUUAAACGUUAAUAGCAUUCAUUUUUUAUUUUUAUUUUUUGAAUUAUUGAUUCAAUUGUUGGUUGUGUUUGUGGGAUUGUUGUUGGAAAACGGUUCAAUAUACGUAAUAGAGGAACGGAAAAUCUCUGAUGGUUAAUGGGUUGACUUACUUGUUAUAAAAUUGAGGGAUCAUGCUCGUUGAGUUCCAUUGAGUAAUUUUGGAACCCUAUGUUUUUAUACUAGAGAAAUGGUGAACUACAAAUGGCUUAAUCAAGUCUUUGAGUACGUAGGCAGUCUAACAAGAAGGUUAGAUGCAAACAUAAAAUAAAGGAAAAGUUACUAUGUUGUUAGACCUUGAUUUAUGUUCUGUUCAUGUCUCAGAGGCGAGAGAUGACAAAUGAAUAGAUAACUGGUGACAUCACGUGUCGAUCUUGGACGUAUCUCAAGAUCGGGGCGUAACAUGUGAAGUCCACCCACACCAUUCGUUUGCUAUUUUUCUUCGGUACUAGCACAACUUUGGUCAGCUAGUCUGGAUGGUGUACUUUAACGAUAAAGUUGGCGUCCUUGAGCUUGUUGAUCUCAGCUUUUAUGAUCUUUGUCUAGUUCCGUAAGUCCACUUACAUUGGAUAAUUGGUUUGGCAGUUGUGUCUAGGUGGACACGAUGACAGAUCACAUGUCACGCCCUAAACCUAGGGUCGGCGAAAAAAUUUACAAUGUGCCCGGUGGGCGAAUAUAAGUAAAAAUAAAAAUGAAAAGAAACUUUUCAUAUAAAAAUAAGUCCACAAAACGUACAAGUGUACAAAAAUAAAAUAAAAACCCUUAAAUCUCUCGUUUAACACAACCCCAGCUCAUCUAUCUCUUGUCUUACCAAACAAAUCAUUUGUAAAAUAAAAGGGUGAGGGAUGAGCAACAACCACCAUAGCCCAGUGAGUAUAAUAUGUAAUAUGCAGUCAAGCGUGCUAUUUUACUCACAUUAUAACAUACUAUAACUAUAUCAAUGUCUUCAUCAGAUAUCAUGCCAUAUCACAUCGUCCCUUCACAUGUUGGUUAUCCUUCCUUAUAUGUAAAUCCCCACGUGAUCCUUAGAUUGGCCAUUCUGCCUAAUGUUCUCGUGUGCCAUACAUUUAUCCCUCGGAUAACUCAACACUGAGGUUCUCAUGCUCCAUGAACAAUCUCAAGUAAUUCCACAUAGAUUGUAUAUAUAUCUCAUCAAAUCAUUUCCCGAAAUCAAACAUGCUUGACUUGAAAUAGAUAGAUAUUUGGAAAUAGAGUAAAAUCCCAUGAUAACUCAUGUUUUUCAGUUAUCAGAAAAUAAGAUAUUUUUAGGACAUUACAUAAACCACUCCUCGAUUGAUUGCUAGAAUCUCGACAAAACAAGCCGAUCUACUGAUCACCACACCUCGAACUCUCUAACCCUAAACUCUCUCUUCUCUCUCUCUACGUGAACUACACACUGCAGUGAUGCAUGUACUGCAUGCUGCAAUCACUUGAUGAUGCCUCACUCUCUUCUCAGGCAAUCUUUCAACUAAUCAAGUAGUAAACUAAUGAUUGAAAACAAAUGGAGGGGUGAGACCUUAUUUAUAGGGGAUUGGAGUCAGCUACAAAUUAAUUCCCAAGUAAAGUAAACCACUAAUUAAUAAAUAGAGUAAUGCUAGGGAGACCAAAUUUUUAAAACCAAAUUUGCAAACUAAAUGAUGUGGUUGUAGAUGAUUGGGUUAUUAAUUAAGUGUCGAUUAAUGUGCUUAUUUCUUAUUGGUGACACAUCAUUUGGUUUAAAAUUUUUGAACUCCCUAACAUUACUCUAAUAAAUAUAUUCAUAUAAUACCUACAUGCAGAUAUAUAUUAAAAGCACGACUAAGCCUUGUUAGAGUGUGACUGUGCUUUUGACAUAUUGAACCAUUUAUAGUAUAUGAGUUCUGUUGAUGCACAAAAUCAACGAGGACUUUGGUGCAACAGAAAGUGUUAAGUUUGUGACCUUCGCUAGAUUGCUCCUGUCACUAGUGUGGAUAAGUAUGUCAAUGGAU
rnacentral:lncRNA from 1 species